AAACAUUCCUGCACCGGCACGGAUGGUUUCACGAGGAGGGACGGAGGGAUAGUCGAGCGACCAUGAGGAUUGGUCGUUCAAGCCAGUAGGCUGAUGGCGUAGGAGGCAAUGGCCACAAACGCGCUGUCAAGGCCGAGAGGUGAUGAGGCUGGCUCUUCGGAGCCAUCAACUCGAUAAUUCCACGCUUCCAGGAAAAGCUUCGCGUGAGUGUACCGCUGUGCCGACCGUACUGUAAACCGACACAGGUGGGUGGGGAGAAGAUCCCAAGGCGCUCGAGAGAACCCGGGUUAAGGAACUCGGCAAAAUAACACCGUAACUUCGGGAGAAGGUGUACCUCAGCUGGUGAAGGGCUUGCGCCCGGAGCUGGAGGGGGUUGCAGUGAAUCGGGGGUAGCGACUGUUUACCAAAAACACAGGACUCUGCAAAGUCGCAAGACGAAGUAUAGGGUCUGACGCCUGCCCGGUGCCGGAAGGUUAAGAGGAGAUGUCAGCGCAAGCAAAGCAUUGAAUCGAAGCCCCGGUAAACGGCGGCCGUAACGAUAACGGUCCUAAGGUAGCGAAAUUCCUUGGCGGGUAAGUUCCGUCCUGCACGAAUGGCGUAACGACUUCCCCACUGUCUCGACCCGGGACUCGGCGAAAUCGAAAUCGGGGUGAAGAUGCCCCGUACCUGCGGAGAGGCGGAAAGACCCCGUGAACCUUUACUGCAGCUUGGCACUGCAGUUCGGACUUGUCUGUGUAGCAUAGGUGGGAGACGUCGAAGCCGGGCCGCUAGGUCUGGUGGAGUCACCGUUGAAAUACCACCCUGAUAAGUCUGGACUUCUAACCGAGACCCGUAAUCCGGGUCCGGGACACUGCCUGGUGGGUAGUUUGACUGGGGCGGUCACCUCCUAAAGAGUAACGGAGGCGCGCAAAGGUUCCCUCAGGUUGAUUGGAAACCAACCGUAGAGUGUAAAGGCAUAAGGGAGCUUGACUGCGACACAUACAAGUGGAGCAGAGACGAAAGUCGGCCUUAGUGAUCCGGCGGUCCUGAAUGGAAGGGCCGUCGCUCAACGGAUAAAAGGUACUCCGGGGAUAACAGGCUGAUCUCCCCCAAGAGUUCACAUCGACGGGGAGGUUUGGCACCUCGAUGUCGGCUCAUCGCAUCCUGGGGCUGAAGUCGGUCCCAAGGGUUUGGCUGUUCGCCAAUUAAAGCGGUACGCGAGCUGGGUUCAGAACGUUGUGAGACAGUUCGGUCCCUAUCUUCCGUGGGCGUAGGAGACUUGAAGAGGAUCUGUCCCUAGUACGAGAGGACCGGGAUGGACGGACCCCUGGUGUUUCUGUUGUCAUGCCAGUGGCAUUGCAGAGUAGCCAAGUUCGGAACGGAUAACCGCUGAAAGCAUCUAAGCGGGAAGCCACCCUCGAGAUGAGGUCUCCCUGAAGGCUCGUCGUAGACUACGACGUUGAUAGGCUGGGUGUGGACGCACGGCAACGUGUGGAGCUAACCAGUACUAAUGAGCCGUUUGGCUUGGGC
rnacentral:rRNA from 1 species